AUUGAACGCUGGCGGCAGGCCUAACACAUGCAAGUCGAGCGGAUGAAGAGAGCUUGCUCUCUGAUUUAGCGGCGGACGGGUGAGUAAUGCCUAGGAAUCUGCCUGGUAGUGGGGGAUAACGUUCCGAAAGGAACGCUAAUACCGCGUACGUCCUACGGGAGAAAGCAGGGGACCUUCGGGCCUUGCGCUAUCAGAUGAGCCUAGGUCGGAUUAGCUAGUAGGUGAGGUAAUGGCUCACCUAGGCGACGAUCCGUAACUGGUCUGAGAGGAUGAUCAGUCACACUGGAACUGAGACACGGUCCAGACUCCUACGGGAGGCAGCAGUGGGGAAUAUUGGACAAUGGGCGAAAGCCUGAUCCAGCCAUGCCGCGUGUGUGAAGAAGGUCUUCGGAUUGUAAAGCACUUUAAGUUGGGAGGAAGGGUAUUCACCUAAUACGUGGGUACUUUGACGUUACCAACAGAAUAAGCACCGGCUAACUCUGUGCCAGCCGCCGCCGUAAGAC
rnacentral:rRNA from 1 species